UAGGGUCUAGGAUUUGAUUAGGAUUUAUUUGAGGUUUAUUUAGAAUUUGAUUAGGAUUUGUCAAGGCUUUGACUAUGGUUUAUUUAGGAUUUUUUUAGAGUUUGUCUAAAAUUUGAUUAGGAUUUGUCUAAGAUUUGAUUGGAGUUGUCUAGGAUUUAUCUAAGGUUUGACUAAGAUUUGUUUAGAGUUGUCUAGGAUUUGACUAGAAUUUGGCUAGGAUUUGUUAAAGAUUUGCUUAAGGUUUGUCCAAGGUUUGAUUUCCAAAGUGAUUUUAUAUAUUCCAAAGAUAGUAAAAUAAUUUUAUAUUAUUUUUACUAAGAUUGUUUGAUUAUUUGUACUAGAUUUGUACUUUUUG
rnacentral:lncRNA from 1 species